rnacentral:tRNA from 1 species
GAGGGUAUAGCUGAGUGCUAGAGUGCAUGCUUAGCAUGCACAAGGUCCUGGGUUCAAUCCCCAGCAUCUCCA